AUGUCUUUUUGUAGUUUAAUAUAAAGUCUGACCUGCCCACUGAAUAAUAUUAAAUGGCCGCAGUAUUUUAACUGUGCAAAGGUAGCAUAAUCAUUAGUCUUUUAAUUGAAGGCUAGAAUGAAUGGUUGGACGAGGCAUAUGCUGUAUCAAAAUAAUUUAUAGAAUUUUAUUUUUUAGUUAAAAAGCUAAAAUAAUUAUAAAAGACGAGAAGACCCUAUAGAUCUUUAUAUUUAAUUUAUUUUUAGUUAUUUAGUUAAUUUUAAUUAAAAUUAGGUUAAAUAUUUUGUUGGGGUGACAUUAAGAUUUAUAUAACUCUUAAUUUAUUUUAACAUUAAUAUUUGAAUAUUAACUUGAUCCUUUAAUAUGGAUUGUAAAAUUAAGUUACCUUAGGGAUAACAGCGUAAUUUUUCUGGCGAGUUCAUAUCAAUAGAAAAGAUUGCGACCUCGAUGUUGGAUUAAGAUUAAUAUUGGGUGCAGAAGUUCAAUAUAUUAAGUCUGUUCGACUUUUAAUUUCUUACAUG
rnacentral:rRNA from 1 species